rnacentral:rRNA from 1 species
CAUGCAAGUCGAGGGGAAACGACAUCGAAAGCUUGCUUUUGAUGGGCGUCGACCGGCGCACGGGUGAGUAACGCGUAUCCAACCUGCCCACCACUUGGGGAUAACCUUGCGAAAGUAAGACUAAUACCCAAUGACGUCUCUAGAAGACAUCUGAAAGAGAUUAAAGAUUUAUCGGUGAUGGAUGGGGAUGCGUCUGAUUAGCUUGUUGGCGGGGUAACGGCCCACCAAGGCUACGAUCAGUAGGGGUUCUGAGAGGAAGGUCCCCCACAUUGGAACUGAGACACGGUCCAAACUCCUACGGGAGGCAGCAGUGAGGAAUAUUGGUCAAUGGGCGAGAGCCUGAACCAGCCAAGUAGCGUGCAGGAUGACGGCCCUAUGGGUUGUAAACUGCUUUUAUAAGGGAAUAAAGUGAGUCUCGUGAGACUUUUUGCAUGUACCUUAUGAAUAAGGACCGGCUAAUUCCGUGCCAGCAGCCGCGGUAAUACGGAAGGUCCGGGCGUUAUCCGGAUUUAUUGGGUUUAAAGGGAGCGUAGGCCGGAGAUUAAGCGUGUUGUGAAAUGUAGACGCUCAACGUCUGCACUGCAGCGCGAACUGGUUUCCUUGAGUACGCACAAAGUGGGCGGAAUUCGUGGUGUAGCGGUGAAAUGCUUAGAUAUCACGAAGAACUCCGAUUGCGAAGGCAGCUCACUGGAGCGCAACUGACGCUGAAGCUCGAAAGUGCGGGUAUCGAACAGGAUUAGAUACCCUGGUAGUCCGCACGGUAAACGAUGGAUGCCCGCUGUUGGUCUGAAUAGGUCAGCGGCCAAGCGAAAGCAUUAAGCAUCCCACCUGGGGAGUACGCCGGCAACGGUGAAACUCAAAGGAAUUGACGGGGGCCCGCACGAGCGGAGGAACAUGUGGUUUAAUUCGAUGAUACGCGAGG